GAUGAACGCUAGCGGCAGGCCUAACACAUGCAAGUCGAGGGAGAAGCCCUUUCGGGGCCGAAACCGGCGCACGGGUGCGUCACGCGUAUGCAACCUACCUUUCACAGGGGGAUAGCCCGAAGAAAUUUGGAUUAAUACCCCAUAAUAUUAUUGGAUGGCAUCAUUUGAUAAUUAAAACUGCGGUGGUGAAAGAUGGGCAUGCGUCCUAUUAGCUAGUUGGAGUGGUAACGGCACCCCAAGGCUACGAUAGGUAGGGGUCCUGAGAGGGAGAUCCCCCACACUGGUACUGAGACAGGGACCAGACUCCUACGGGAGGCAGCAGUGAGGAAUAUUGGUCAAUGGUCGGAAGACUGAACCAGCCAUGCCGCGUGCAGGAAGAAUGCCUUAUGGGUUGUAAACUGCUUUUAUAUGGGAAGAAUAAGGCGUACGUGUACGUUGAUGACGGUACCAUAUGAAUAAGCAUCGGCUAACUCCGUG
rnacentral:rRNA from 1 species